rnacentral:lncRNA from 1 species
UUGUUCUAUCCUGUAGUUCAGUGAGAGGAAGGGAGUAGCAUCCAGUGGCUUUCCUUCUUCUCUCCCAUUGUUUGGUUUAUUUUCUAGUUGUUGGAAGACCAUAGUGAACAUUACAAUUGAUUCCUCAAUAUUUAUUCCACCCAAGAUGGGUAAUCCAAGCCAACUAGAGACUGGUUCAGGCAUGGGGCUGCUUAUCUAACUGUGAGUGAUGGCUGUCACUAUUCACUGUGGGACAGGUAUCAAAUGUCAGCAAUCUCUUCUGCUGCCAAUUUGCUGUUUGUUUUUCUCAACUCUUCUCCAUGUUGAAUCCUGGAAGUUAUUGAAACAAUCCUUGAUCAUUGCUUUUAGUCUCUAGUUGUUGUUAGGCAAAAGGAUUUGCGGCUCCUCAUCAGAAUAGCAAGUGAAUAAAGAGCAUGGAUUAUGGAAUCAGAC